UUUGGAGAAAGGGAAGAUGCUUGACUAAAUCUACACCUGACUGAUGGGCUGAGAAAGGGUCUUGUGAUCUUCUGCAGCUUUAAGAUAAAAAGGCACGCUCCAUUCAUUUUGGAUCUCCACCCAGCACUCACCAGCAAGUCUGCACACUGUGAAAUAAUUGGUCUCAACAGAGAUCUGUCCACACACCCUAAAGCAGCCACAAAAAACAAAUGUCUCCCCAUGCUGUGAGCAGCCAGCGUUCAGAUUAUGAGCUGAAAGUUGGACCUCUUGACAGCAUACAGCAUGUAAAGCCCAAAGAGAAGAUCAGAAGAUCUUUCAUCCAAAGAAGGGAGGACACAUCUUCAGUACAGCCCUUCACCACCCUGUGUUCAAUCAAUAUUUCCUCAGUGCUGAAGCAAUCCUUUUUUCUUUUCCAGUCUUUCCCUUAUGUAAGUGUGAUUUUGCAGUUCCUCUGGGCCCAUUUUAUGGAAAUUCAAGCAAUUACAUAGGUGCUGUUAUAACUGAUAAAUCUCAGUCCAUUUACGUCCUGAUGUUUGACACUGGAGUUAUGCUGCCUCUUAUCUUCUGUAAGGAAAUUGAGAACAUCUAUUAGAGCACAGAGGACUUACACCUACAGAGCUUCAUACCUCACCAAGUUUCUUUCUUGUAUUCACAAUGAGAUAAAAGCCACAGAGUUGGUAAAUGCCUGUUUGAAACCUGCCAGGCUUUCUUGUCAGUUUGUGACAGCUUUGGGAAUCCCUGGGCUGGCUGCAAAAAUACUGCUGUUGUGGUCCUUUCUCCAACCAGUUUAUGGCUGUAAAACUGUACUGUUGAAGUCAAGGGGAGUCUGAUCUCUAUCUGCAGGAUGGUCAGGUGGCCUAAGGAAAUUGCACUGAGUCACAAAUGGUCUUUCUCAUCACCGAAAUACCACUCCAGAGAACGAGGACUCUGAUCUGUCAGAAAUCCAUCAGUCAGUCCCUGGGAUGUACAGGAGAGCUGUGUCAGGUCCUUAAGAAAUGCCAAGGUUAGAUGUAUUGAGAUAUCAGGUUAAUCAAGAGAGCUUCUUGAGUGAAAGAAACAUGUAAACUUGCAGAAUUUAGUCUCUUUUUGGCAUUUCUUCUUGAUGCACUAGAACAUCUGCAAAAUAUCUGUUUUUUCAGUUCAUUAGCCAAAAAGAAAAAUGGGACAGGGAGCAGUGGGAAAGAGGAGAAGAUUUCACUCAGUUGAAAGCCAAAGCCUUUGUGAAUGGGAAAGUAACAAAUAAUUCAUGUCACAUUAAAUAAAAUCUUGUA